rnacentral:rRNA from 1 species
CAAUAGCGUAUAUUAAAGUUGUUGCAGUUAAAAAGCUCGUAGUUGGAUUUCGGGGCAGCCUGGCUGGUCCGCCGCAAGGCGAGUACUGGUCAGCCGCCCUUCCUCUCGAAAGCCCCGACUGCUCUUUAUUGCAGUGGUCGGGUAGUUCGGGACGUUUACUUUGAAAAAAUUAGAGUGUUCAAGGCAGGCCUACGCCUGAAUACAUUAGCAUGGAAUAAUGGAAGAGGACCUCGGUCCUAUUUUGUUGGUUUCCAGGACCGAAGUAAUGAUUAAGAGGGACAGUUGGGGGCAUUCGUAUUUAAUUGUCAGAGGUGAAAUUCUCGGAGUUAUGAAAGACGAACAACUGCGAAAGCAUUUGCCAAGGAUGUUUUCAUUAA